GAACGCAUAUUGCGCUCUUUGGUAUUCCGAAGAGCAUGCUUGUUUGAGUAUCAGUAAACACCUCAAAACUCUUGAUCUUUUUCAAGCGUUUUGGACUUGAGCAAACCCAACGCCUUUUCUUUUAAGAUCUGUUGCGGCGGGUUGGUUGAAAUACAGGUGCCGCUUGACAAUCUCCUUGGCUAAAAGCAUAUUUAUUUAGUCCCGUCAAACGGAUUAUUACUUUUUGCUGCAGCUAACAUAAAGGGAGUUUUGACCAUUAUGGCUGACUGAUGCAGGAUUUCACAGAGAAAAGGCCGGCAACGGUUUUGUCUCUGUCAAACUCGAUCUCAAAUCAAGUAAGACUACCCGCUGAACUUAAG
rnacentral:misc_RNA from 1 species